rnacentral:rRNA from 1 species
UAGGGAAUAUUGCUUAAUGGGCGAAAGCCUGAAGCAGCAACGCCGCGUGAACGAAGAAGGCCUUCGGGUCGUAAAGUUCUUUUACGUGGGAUGAGGAAGGACAGUACCACGAGAAUAAGUCUCGGCUAACUACGUGCCAGCAGCCGCGGUAAAACGUAGGAGACGAGCGUUAUCCGGAUUUACUGGGCGUAAAGCGCGUGUAGGAGGCGCUACAAGUUGGAUGUGAAAGCUCCCGGCUUAACUGGGAGAGGUCGUUCAAGACUGUAGGGCUAGAGUGAAGCAGAGGUAGAUGGAACUCCGGGAGUAGUGGUGAAAUGCGUAGAUAUCCGGAAGAACACCAGAGGCGAAAGCGAUCUACUGGGCCUAAACUGACACUGAGACGCGAAAGCCGGGGUAGCAAACGG